rnacentral:tRNA from 1 species
UCCAGCCGAAAUUGGAAAAAAUCGAUACCCUCAAUUACCAAUCAUUGGAGAUAUUAAAAAAGUUUUACAUCAACUAGUAAAGAAUG